UCAUGGCUCAGAUUGAACGCUGGCGGCAGGCCUAACACAUGCAAGUCGAGCGGUAACAGAACUAGCUUGCUAGUUGCUGACGAGCGGCGGACGGGUGAGUAACGCGUAGGAAUCUGCCCGGUAGCGGGGGAUAGCCCAGAGAAAUUUGGAUUAAUACCGCAUACGCCCUACGGGGGAAAGCAGGGGAUCUUCGGACCUUGCGCUAUCGGAUGAGCCUGCGUCGGAUUAGCUAGUUGGUGGGGUAAUGGCCUACCNAGGCGACGAUCCGUAGCUGGUCUGAGAGGAUGAUCAGCCACACCGGAACUGAGACACGGUCCGGACUCCUACGGGAGGCAGCAGUGGGGAAUAUUGCACAAUGGGCGCAAGCCUGAUGCAGCCAUGCCGCGUGUGUGAAGAAGGCCUUCGGGUUGUAAAGCACUUUCAGUAGGGAGGAAAGGUUGUAGAUUAAUACUCUGCAGCUGUGACGUUACCUACAGAAGAAGCACCGGCUAACUCCGUGCCAGCAGCCGCGGUAAUACGGAGGGUGCAAGCGUUAAUCGGAAUUACUGGGCGUAAAGCGCGCGUAGGC
rnacentral:rRNA from 1 species